UACGGAGGAUGCGAGCGUUAUCCGGAUUUAUUGGGUUUAAAGGGUGCGUAGGCGGCGAGUUAAGUCAGCGGUAAAAGCCCGGGGCUCAACCCCGGCCCGCCGUUGAAACUGGCUGGCUUGAGUUGGGGAAAGGCAGGCGGAAUGCGCGGUGUAGCGGUGAAAUGCAUAGAUAUCGCGCAGAACCCCGAUUGCGAAGGCAGCCUGCCGGCCCCACACUGACGCUGAGGCACGAAAGCGUGGGUAUCGAACAGG
rnacentral:rRNA from 1 species